rnacentral:rRNA from 1 species
CCCUUAGAUGUCCUGGGCCGCACGCGCGUUACACUGAUGCAUUCAACGAGCUUAUAACCUUGGCCGAGAGGCCUGGGCAAUCUUGUUAACGUGCAUCGUGAUAGGGAUAGAUUAUUGAAAUUAUUAAUCUUGAACGAGGAAUUCCUAGUAAACGCAGAUCAUCAAUCUGCAUUGAUUACGUCCCUGCCCUUUGUACACACCGCCCGUCGCACCUACCGAUUGGAUGGGCCGGUGAAGCCUCGGGAUUGUGGUUCUUGCCGCUUUAUUGUGGCGUGACCGCGAGAACUUGUCUAAACCUUAUCAUCUAGAGGAAGGUGAAGUCGUAACA